rnacentral:rRNA from 1 species
UACGUAGGGGGCAAGCGUUGUCCGGAAUCAUUGGGCGUAAAGCGCGCGUAGGCGGCCAGAUAAGUCCGGUGUGAAAGUCAAAGGCUCAACCUUUGAAUGCCGCUGGAAACUGUCUGGCUAGAGUCCGGAAGGGGCGAGUGGAACUCCUGGUGUAGCGGUGAAAUGCGCAGAUAUCAGGAAGAACACCAAUGGCGAAGGCAGCUCGCUAGGACGGUACUGACGCUGAGGCGCGAAAGCGUGGGGAGCAAACAGG